rnacentral:tRNA from 2 species
GGCCCAUUCGUCUAGUGGCCUAGGACACCGCCCUCUCACGGCGGCGGCACGGGUUCGAAUCCCGUAUGGGCUA